rnacentral:rRNA from 1 species
AGUCGAACGAGAACGGUAUAUUCUUCGGAAUAUAUGUCAGCUAAGUGGCGCACGGGUGAGUAACACGUAGCUACCUGCCUCAUAGUUUGGGAUAACAGUUGGAAACGACUGCUAAUACCGGAUACACCCUAAGGGGGAAAGCGAAUAAGCGCUAUGAGAUGGGGCUGCGGCGUAUCAGUUAGUUGGUGGGGUAAAGGCCUACCAAGACUAUGACGCGUAGCUGGUCUGAGAGGAUGGUCAGCCACACUGGAACUGAGACACGGUCCAGACUCCUACGGGAGGCAGCAGUGGGGAAUAUUGCACAAUGGGGGGAACCCUGAUGCAGCAAUGCCGCGUGGAGGAAGAAGCAUUUCGGUGUGUAAACUCCUUUUCUGAGGGAAGAUGAUGACGGUACCUCAGGAAUAAGCUCCGCUACUCCGUGCCAGCAGCCGCGGUAAUACGGGGAGCGAGCGUUACUCGGAAUCACUGGGCGUAAAGAGCGC